rnacentral:rRNA from 1 species
CAUUUGGAAACAGAUGCUAAUACCGCAUAAAUCCAAGAACCGCAUGGUUCUUGGCUGAAAGAUGGCGUAAGCUAUCGCUUUUGGAUGGACCCGCGGCGUAUUAGCUAGUUGGUGAGGUAACGGCUCACCAAGGCAAUGAUACGUAGCCGAACUGAGAGGUUGAUCGGCCACAUUGGGACUGAGACACGGCCCAAACUCCUACGGGAGGCAGCAGUAGGGAAUCUUCCACAAUGGACGCAAGUCUGAUGGAGCAACGCCGCGUGAGUGAAGAAGGCUUUCGGGUCGUAAAACUCUGUUGUUGGAGAAGAAUGGUCGGCAGAGUAACUGUUGUCGGCGUGACGGUAUCCAACCAGAAAGCCACGGCUAACUACGUGCCAGCAGCCGCGGUAAUACGUAGGUGGCAAGCGUUAUCCGGAUUUAUUGGGCGUAAAGCGAGCGCAGGCGGUUUUUUAAGUCUGAUGUGAAAGCCCUCGGCUUAACCGAGGAAGUGCAUCGGAAACUGGGAAACUUGAGUGCAGAAGAGGACAGUGGAACUCCAUGUGUAGCGGUGAAAUGCGUAGAUAUAUGGAAGAACACCAGUGGCGAAGGCGGCUGUCUGGUCUGUAACUGACGCUGAGGCUCGAAAGCAUGGGUAGCGAACAGGAUUAGAUACCCUGGUAGUCCAUGCCGUAAACGAUGAAUGCUAGGUGUUGGAGGGUUUCCGCCCUUCAGUGCCGCAGCUAACGCAUUAAGCAUUCCGCCUGGGGGAGUACGACCGCAAGGUUGAAACUCAAAGGAAUUGACGGGGGCCCGCACAAGCGGUGGAGCAUGUGGUUUAAUUCGAAGCAACGCGAAGAACCUUACCAGGUCUUGACAUCUUUUGAUCACCUGAGA